rnacentral:rRNA from 1 species
AGAGUUUGAUCCUGGCUCAGAGUGAACGCUGGCGGCAGGCCUAACACAUGCAAGUCGAACGGCAGCACAGCAGUAGCAAUACUGCGGGUGGCGAGUGGCGGACGGGUGAGGAAUGCGUCGGAAUCUGCCUAUUUGUGGGGGAUAACGUAGGGAAACUUACGCUAAUACCGCAUACGACCUACGGGUGAAAGUGGGGGACCUUCGGGCCUCACGCAGAUAGAUGAGCCGACGCCGGAUUAGCUAGUUGGCGGGGUAAAGGCCCACCAAGGCGACGAUCCGUAGCUGGUCUGAGAGGAUGAUCAGCCACACUGGGACUGAGACACGGCCCAGACUCCUACGGGAGGCAGCAGUGGGGAAUAUUGGACAAUGGGCGCAAGCCUGAUCCAGCCAUGCCGCGUGUGUGAAGAAGGCCUUCGGGUUGUAAAGCACUUUUGUCCGGAAAGAAAUCCUUUCGAUUAAUACUCGGGAGGGAUGACGGUACCGA